rnacentral:rRNA from 1 species
UACGGGGGGGGCAAGCGUUGUUCGGAAUUACUGGGCGUAAAGGGCGCGUAGGCGGUGCUCUAAGUCGGAUGUGAAAACUCUGGGCUCAACCCAGAGCCUGCAUCCGAAACUGGAGUGCUAGAGUUCUGGAGGGGGUAGCGGAAUUCCUGGUGUAGCGGUGAAAUGCGUAGAUAUCAGGAGGAACACCAAUAGCGAAGGCAGCUCGCUGGGACGGUAUUGACGCUAAGGCGCGAAAGCGUGGGGAGCAAACAGG